GGGUUGUGAGGUUAAGCGACUAAGCGUACACGGUGGAUGCCCUGGCAGUCAGAGGCGAUGAAGGACGUGCUAAUCUGCGAUAAGCGUCGGUAAGGUGAUAUGAACCGUUAUAACCGGCGAUUUCCGAAUGGGGAAACCCAGUGUGAUUCGUCACACUAUCAUUAACUGAAUCCAUAGGUUAAUGAGGCGAACCGGGGGAACUGAAACAUCUAAGUACCCCGAGGAAAAGAAAUCAACCGAGAUUCCCCCAGUAGCGGCGAGCGAACGGGGAGCAGCCCAGAGCCUGAAUCAGUGUGUGUGUUAGUGGAAGCGUCUGGAAAGGCGCGCGAUACAGGGUGACAGCCCCGUACACAAAAAUGCACAUGCUGUGAGCUCGAUGAGUAGGGCGGGACACGUGGUAUCCUGUCUGAAUAUGGGGGGACCAUCCUCCAAGGCUAAAUACUCCUGACUGACCGAUAGUGAACCAGUACCGUGAGGGAAAGGCGAAAAGAACCCCGGCGAGGGGAGUGAAAAAGAACCUGAAACCGUGUACGUACAAGCAGUGGGAGCACGCUUAGGCGUGUGACUGCGUACCUUUUGUAUAAUGGGUCAGCGACUUAUAUUCUGUAGCAAGGUUAACCGAAUAGGGGAGCCGAAGGGAAACCGAGUCUUAACUGGGCGUUAAGUUGCAGGGUAUAGACCCGAAACCCGGUGAUCUAGCCAUGGGCAGGUUGAAGGUUGGGUAACACUAACUGGAGGACCGAACCGACUAAUGUUGAAAAAUUAGCGGAUGACUUGUGGCUGGGGGUGAAAGGCCAAUCAAACCGGGAGAUAGCUGGUUCUCCCCGAAAGCUAUUUAGGUAGCGCCUCGUGAAUUCAUCUCCGGGGGUAGAGCACUGUUUCGGCAAGGGGGUCAUCCCGACUUACCAACCCGAUGCAAACUGCGAAUACCGGAGAAUGUUAUCACGGGAGACACACGGCGGGUGCUAACGUCCGUCGUGAAGAGGGAAACAACCCAGACCGCCAGCUAAGGUCCCAAAGUCAUGGUUAAGUGGGAAACGAUGUGGGAAGGCCCAGACAGCCAGGAUGUUGGCUUAGAAGCAGCCAUCAUUUAAAGAAAGCGUAAUAGCUCACUGGUCGAGUCGGCCUGCGCGGAAGAUGUAACGGGGCUAAACCAUGCACCGAAGCUGCGGCAGCGACACUAUGUGUUGUUGGGUAGGGGAGCGUUCUGUAAGCCUGCGAAGGUGUGCUGUGAGGCAUGCUGGAGGUAUCAGAAGUGCGAAUGCUGACAUAAGUAACGAUAAAGCGGGUGAAAAGCCCGCUCGCCGGAAGACCAAGGGUUCCUGUCCAACGUUAAUCGGGGCAGGGUGAGUCGACCCCUAAGGCGAGGCCGAAAGGCGUAGUCGAUGGGAAACAGGUUAAUAUUCCUGUACUUGGUGUUACUGCGAAGGGGGGACGGAGAAGGCUAUGUUGGCCGGGCGACGGUUGUCCCGGUUUAAGCGUGUAGGCUGGUUUUCCAGGCAAAUCCGGAAAAUCAAGGCUGAGGCGUGAUGACGAGGCACUACGGUGCUGAAGCAACAAAUGCCCUGCUUCCAGGAAAAGCCUCUAAGCAUCAGGUAACAUCAAAUCGUACCCCAAACCGACACAGGUGGUCAGGUAGAGAAUACCAAGGCGCUUGAGAGAACUCGGGUGAAGGAACUAGGCAAAAUGGUGCCGUAACUUCGGGAGAAGGCACGCUGAUAUGUAGGUGAAGCGACUUGCUCGUGGAGCUGAAAUCAGUCGAAGAUACCAGCUGGCUGCAACUGUUUAUUAAAAACACAGCACUGUGCAAACACGAAAGUGGACGUAUACGGUGUGACGCCUGCCCGGUGCCGGAAGGUUAAUUGAUGGGGUUAGCGCAAGCGAAGCUCUUGAUCGAAGCCCCGGUAAACGGCGGCCGUAACUAUAACGGUCCUAAGGUAGCGAAAUUCCUUGUCGGGUAAGUUCCGACCUGCACGAAUGGCGUAAUGAUGGCCAGGCUGUCUCCACCCGAGACUCAGUGAAAUUGAACUCGCUGUGAAGAUGCAGUGUACCCGCGGCAAGACGGAAAGACCCCGUGAACCUUUACUAUAGCUUGACACUGAACAUUGAGCCUUGAUGUGUAGGAUAGGUGGGAGGCUUUGAAGUGUGGACGCCAGUCUGCAUGGAGCCGACCUUGAAAUACCACCCUUUAAUGUUUGAUGUUCUAACGUGGACCCGUAAUCCGGGUUGCGGACAGUGUCUGGUGGGUAGUUUGACUGGGGCGGUCUCCUCCUAAAGAGUAACGGAGGAGCACGAAGGUUGGCUAAUCCUGGUCGGACAUCAGGAGGUUAGUGCAAUGGCAUAAGCCAGCUUGACUGCGAGCGUGACGGCGCGAGCAGGUGCGAAAGCAGGUCAUAGUGAUCCGGUGGUUCUGAAUGGAAGGGCCAUCGCUCAACGGAUAAAAGGUACUCCGGGGAUAACAGGCUGAUACCGCCCAAGAGUUCAUAUCGACGGCGGUGUUUGGCACCUCGAUGUCGGCUCAUCACAUCCUGGGGCUGAAGUAGGUCCCAAGGGUAUGGCUGUUCGCCAUUUAAAGUGGUACGCGAGCUGGGUUUAGAACGUCGUGAGACAGUUCGGUCCCUAUCUGCCGUGGGCGCUGGAGAAUUGAGGGGGGCUGCUCCUAGUACGAGAGGACCGGAGUGGACGCAUCACUGGUGUUCGGGUUGUCAUGCCAAUGGCACUGCCCGGUAGCUAAAUGCGGAAGAGAUAAGUGCUGAAAGCAUCUAAGCACGAAACUUGCCCCGAGAUGAGUUCUCCCUGACUCCUUGAGAGUCCUGAAGGAACGUUGAAGACGACGACGUUGAUAGGCCGGGUGUGUAAGCGCAGCGAUGCGUUGAGCUAACCGGUACUAAUGAACCGUGAGGCUUAACCUUACAACGCCGAAG
rnacentral:rRNA from 1 species